rnacentral:rRNA from 1 species
ACGCUGGCGGCGCACAUAAGACAUGCAAGUCGAACGAACUUAAUUGAGAGCUUGCUCUCAAAGCGGUUAGUGGCGGACUGGUGAGUAACACGUAAGCAACCUGCCUAUUAGAGGGGAAUAACAGCGAGAAAUCGUUGCUAGUACCGCAUAUGCUGCGAGUAUCGCAUGAUACAAGCAGGAAAGGAGCAAUCCGCUAAUAGAUGGGCUUGCGUCUGAUUAGUUAGUUGGUGGGGUAACGGCCUACCAAGACGAUGAUCAGUAGCCGGACUGAGAGGUUGAACGGCCACAUUGGGACUGAGAUACGGCCCAGACUCCUACGGGAGGCAGCAGUCGGGAAUAUUGCGCAAUGGAGGAAACUCUGACGCAGUGACGCCGCGUGCAGGAAGAAGGUUUUCGGAUUGUAAACUGCUUUUAACAGGAAAGAAAAAAAUGACGGUACCUGUUGAAUAAGCUCCGGCUAACUACGUGCCAGCAGCCGCGGUAAUACGUAGGGAGCGAGCGUUAUCCGGAUUUAUUGGGUGUAAAGGGUGCGUAGACGGAAAUGCAAGUUAGUUGUGAAAUACCUCGGCUUAACUGAGGAACUGCAACUAAAACUAUAUUUCUUGAGUAUCGGAGGGGUUUGUGGAAUUCCUAGUGUAGCGGUGAAAUGCGUAGAUAUUAGGAAGAACACCGGUGGCGAAGCGACAAACUGGACGAUAACUGACGUUGAGGCACGAAAGUGUGGGGAGCAAACAGGGUUAGAUACCCUGGUAGUCCACACCGUAAACGAUGGAUACUAGGUGUUGGCAAUGAAUAAUUGUCGGUGCCGGCGCUAACGCAAUAAGUAUCCCACCUGGGGAGUACGACCGCAAGGUUGAAACUCAAAGGAAUUGACGGGGGCCCGCACAAGCAGUGGAGUAU